rnacentral:lncRNA from 1 species
GGGAGUAAAGGUCAACUGAAGUAUAUGCGUGUAAAAAGUUAAUGUGCUAGUUAGUGUCUUUAACGUCCGCGUCUGUUGUCUGUGUGUUCAUAAUGGGAUCUGAAGUAUCUAAAGUGCGGUUGGAAGGGUCUUUAAAAGACCUGCUGAAAGCCAAUGGAACUCCACUAAAAGCAAAAACUGCUGGGGCCGUUUUGAAUACAGUGGAAAAGGCGGCUCCAUGGUUCCUAGAUGAAGGCUUGCUAAACAUACCUCAAUGGGACCACCUGUGAUCCAGGGUUUGACCCCUGUGAAACCUAUUAAUGCCUCGGGGCCAUAUCAACCUUUUAAGUUGCCCAGGUGCACCAAUAACAGGGUAUGGCCACCAGAGUGGUGUGGAUGUCAGAGUACCUUGCGCUCAGUUUACAUCAAUGAAAUGCAUAGCUUUACAUUCACUUCACGCUUUCCUACUUAUAAAAAUAAUACCUUUACAGGGUACAAUUAUUCCUUUCAAAAUCCUAAGCAAGGCAAUCCCUCCUCUCCCUUUGAUGCAUGGCAGGUCUGUAACUUGCUAGAAGCAUGUACCGAUAUCUCAGCAGUGUCCAUGUUAAAUGGUGGCAAAUUCCGCAACUGUUCUUAUAAACAAAAUGACUCUAGUACCUUUGAGACAACAGUUAAUGUGACUUGUCCCAAUAAUAUUACUUAUCAGCCCACUCCCAUAUGUGUCUCACCACCGUUCCUUUUCCUCGUAACAAAUGCUAGCGAGCUGAAUGAUACAUUGAAUUGCACUAAGAAUUGCUAUCUUUCCCAGUGCUGGAAUGUCACGGCCUUCAAGCUGGCUGUGAUUAUGCGUAUCCCUACCCAUGUUCCUAUCCCAGUUUCCAUUCCAGAGGACAAGUUACCGGUGGUGCUAUCCAGAAAGAAGAGAGAAUUUGGUAUCACAGCCUCCGUUGUGACAGCAUUGGCUAUAUCAAGAGCAGCUGCCACGGUAGCAGCAGUCUCGCUUGCUGCAACUGUACCCACUGCGGAAGCUGUGAACACCCUUGCAGAAGGAACGGCGGCUGCCCUUCAAACACAGACUCAGAUCAAUGCACAUCUGCAAGCAGGAAUCCUGAUAGUCAACCAGAGAGGGGAUUUGGUUCAAGAACAAGUGGACAUAUUGGGGGCCCUAUUGGGACUGGGAUGUAUAGCACCCUUCCCGGCAAUUUGUGAAACUCCCAUUGCC